rnacentral:rRNA from 1 species
AAGCUUGCUUCUCUUGAGAGCGGCGGACGGGUGAGUAAUGCCUAGGAAUCUGCCUGGUAGUGGGGGAUAACGUUCGGAAACGGACGCUAAUACCGCAUACGUCCUACGGGAGAAAGCAGGGGACCUUCGGGCCUUGCGCUAUCAGAUGAGCCUAGGUCGGAUUAGCUAGUUGGUGAGGUAAUGGCUCACCAAGGCGACGAUCCGUAACUGGUCUGAGAGGAUGAUCAGUCACACUGGAACUGAGACACGGUCCAGACUCCUACGGGAGGCAGCAGUGGGGAAUAUUGGACAAUGGGCGAAAGCCUGAUCCAGCCAUGCCGCGUGUGUGAAGAAGGUCUUCGGAUUGUAAAGCACUUUAAGUUGGGAGGAAGGGCAGUUACCUAAUACGUGAUUGUUUUGACGUUACCGACAGAAUAAGCACCGGCUAACUCUGUGCCAGCAGCCGCGG